GAAAAGAGUGACUUACCAUCCCAUUGGUCCCUAGGCUAGAUUCAGCUGACACAGAUGGCUGGCCAGGUAUCCCCUUCCUCCCUCAGGGAUCCAUGUAUGUCCCUCCUGAGCUGCACCCUCAGUGGAAAAGGGCAGCCCCUCCCUGAUAGAGCCUUCCCUUGUGGGCAUCUGAGCAGGCGCAUUCUGCUACUAGACCCUCCAGACAAACUUUUAAGAAACAAAAGGGUUGCUGGACAUAGAGCCUUGGGCAUUUGGCCCGGU
rnacentral:snRNA from 1 species